CAAUAGCGUAUAUUAAAGUUGUUGCAGUUAAAAAGCUCGUAGUUGGAUUUGUGGCGUACGGUGGGUUCCGGGCACUUGUUGUCUGAGUAACUUGCUGUUGCCAUCCUUGGGUGGAACCUGUGUGGCAUUAGGUUGUCGUGCAGGGGAUGCCCAUCAUUUACUGUGAAAAAAUUAGAGUGUUCAAAGCAGGCUUAUGCCGUUGAAUAUAUUAGCAUGGAAUAAUGAGAUAGGACUUUUUUGCUAUUUUGUUGGUUUGCGCAAAGAGGUAAUGAUUAAUAGGGACAGUUGGGGGCAUUCGUAUUCCAUUGUCAGAGGUGAAAUUCUUGGAUUUUUGGAAGACGAACUACUGCGAAAGCAUUUACCAAGGAUGUUUUCAUUAA
rnacentral:rRNA from 1 species